UUUUCUUUUUCUUCUCUUCCAUUUCCUUUCCUUCCUUAGAUGUCCUCUUCUCCUGAUUCUUUCAGAGUCCUCUUUUCACAAAAUGAGAAAGGAAGAACACACGCCUUCGGUUCUUCUUCGUAUUUAAAUGAGUGA
rnacentral:ribozyme from 1 species